UACGUAGGGUGCGCGCGUUGUCCGGAAUUAUUGGGCGUAAAGAGCUUGUAGGCGGUUUGUCGCGUCUGCCGUGGAAAUCCGGGGCUCAACCCCGGACUUGCGGUGGGUACGGGCAGACUAGAGUGUGGUAGGGGAGACUGGAAUUCCUGGUGUAGCGGUGAAAUGCGCAGAUAUCAGGAGGAACACCGAUGGCGAAGGCAGGUCGCUGGGCCACUACUGACGCUGAGAAGCGAAAGCGUGGGGAGCGAACAGG
rnacentral:rRNA from 1 species